AAAUUGAAGAGUUUGAUCAUGGCUCAGAUUGAACGCUGGCGGCAGGCCUAACACAUGCAAGUCGAACGGUAACAGGAAGCAGCUUGCUGCUUCGCUGACGAGUGGCGGACGGGUGAGUAAUGUCUGGGAAACUGCCUGAUGGAGGGGGAUAACUACUGGAAACGGUGGCUAAUACCGCAUAACGUCGCAAGACCAAAGAGGGGGACCUUCGGGCCUCUUGCCAUCAGAUGUGCCCAGAUGGGAUUAGCUUGUUGGUGAGGUAACGGCUCACCAAGGCGACGAUCCCUAGCUGGUCUGAGAGGAUGACCAGCCACACUGGAACUGAGACACGGUCCAGACUCCUACGGGAGGCAGCAGUGGGGAAUAUUGCACAAUGGGCGCAAGCCUGAUGCAGCCAUGCCGCGUGUAUGAAGAAGGCCUUCGGGUUGUAAAGUACUUUCAGCGGGGAGGAAGGUGUUGUGGUUAAUAACCGCAGCAAUUGACGUUACCCGCAGAAGAAGCACCGGCUAACUCCGUGCCAGCAGCCGCGGUAAUACGGAGGGUGCAAGCGUUAAUCGGAAUUACUGGGCGUAAAGCGCACGCAGGCGGUCUGUCAAGUCGGAUGUGAAAUCCCCGGGCUCAACCUGGGAACUGCAUUCGAAACUGGCAGGCUUGAGUCUUGUAGAGGGGGGUAGAAUUCCAGGUGUAGCGGUGAAAUGCGUAGAGAUCUGGAGGAAUACCGGUGGCGAAGGCGGCCCCCUGGACAAAGACUGACGCUCAGGUGCGAAAGCGUGGGGAGCAAACAGGAUUAGAUACCCUGGUAGUCCACGCCGUAAACGAUGUCUACUUGGAGGUUGUGCCCUUGAGGCGUGGCUUCCGGAGCUAACGCGUUAAGUAGACCGCCUGGGGAGUACGGCCGCAAGGUUAAAACUCAAAUGAAUUGACGGGGGCCCGCACAAGCGGUGGAGCAUGUGGUUUAAUUCGAUGCAACGCGAAGAACCUUACCUGGUCUUGACAUCCACAGAACUUUCCAGAGAUGGAUUGGUGCCUUCGGGAACUGUGAGACAGGUGCUGCAUGGCUGUCGUCAGCUCGUGUUGUGAAAUGUUGGGUUAAGUCCCGCAACGAGCGCAACCCUUAUCCUUUGUUGCCAGCGGUUAGGCCGGGAACUCAAAGGAGACUGCCAGUGAUAAACUGGAGGAAGGUGGGGAUGACGUCAAGUCAUCAUGGCCCUUACGACCAGGGCUACACACGUGCUACAAUGGCGCAUACAAAGAGAAGCGACCUCGCGAGAGCAAGCGGACCUCAUAAAGUGCGUCGUAGUCCGGAUUGGAGUCUGCAACUCGACUCCAUGAAGUCGGAAUCGCUAGUAAUCGUGGAUCAGAAUGCCACGGUGAAUACGUUCCCGGGCCUUGUACACACCGCCCGUCACACCAUGGGAGUGGGUUGCAAAAGAAGUAGGUAGCUUAACCUUCGGGAGGGCGCUUACCACUUUGUGAUUCAUGACUGGGGUGAAGUCGUAACAAGGUAACCGUAGGGGAACCUGCGGUUGGAUCACCUCCUUACCUGAAAGAAGC
rnacentral:rRNA from 3 species